AAGGAAUUUUCGGCAAUGGAGGAAACUCUGACCGAGCAACGCCGCGUGAACGAUGAAGUAUUUAGGUAUGUAAAGUUCUUUUAUUAAAGAAGAAAAAAUGAUGGAAAAAUCAUUCUGACGGUAUUUAAUGAAUAAGCCCCGGCUAACUAUGUGCCAGCAGCUGCGGUAAUACAUGGGGGGCAAGCGUUAUCCGGAUUUAUUGGGCGUAAAGGGUGCGUAGGCGGUUUAAUAAGUCUAUGGUCUAAGUUCAACGCUUAACGUUGUGAUGCUAUAGAAACUGUUUGACUAGAGUUGGAUAGAGGCAAGUGGAAUUCCAUGUGUAGCGGUAAAAUGCGUAAAGAUAUGGAGGAACACCAGUAGCGAAGGCGGCUUGCUGGGUCUUAACUGACGCUGAGGCACGAAAGCGUGGGGAGCAAACAGGAUUAGAUACCCUGGUAGUCCACGCCGUAAACGAUGAGUACUAAGUGUUGGGUUAAACCAGUGCUGAAGUUAACGCAUUAAGUACUCCGCCUGAGUAGUACGUACGCAAGUAUGAAACUUAAAGGAAUUGACGGGACUCCGCACAAGCGGUGGAUCAUGUUGUUUAAUUCGAAGAUACACGAAAAACCUUACCAGGUCUUGACAUACUCUGCAAAGCUAUAGAAAUAUAGUGGAGGUUAUCAGGGAUACAGGUGGUGCAUGGUUGUCGUCAGCUCGUGUCGUGAGAUGUUGGGUUAAGUCCCG
rnacentral:rRNA from 1 species